UAUGGGCAAUUAUAAGUCAUCGAGUCAUUUUAAAUAAUGCUUUUCUGUCUCUCGUACGCUUUCUGUGUGGUGAUUUGAAUAGAAAACACAGUGUGAUGUAUUGCGUAAUGGCAAUAGACCAGCAGGAGUAAAGAUCGUUUGUCUGCAGUUGUAUAUCAAACACUAGUGAUAUUAGUGUCAAACAUGAGAGGCAUCGUUUGGCAGUAUUAAGGACUUGCUGGUUGCCCGAGUAUCGCUAAAACAAGAUAAAGGAUGGUAGAGAUUUCAUUUUGACCCAUCGGUGGCUGCGGGGUUGCCUUCACUGGUGGAUGAUGGUGUGGUGGUUUGGUCACUCUUAUGUCUUUUUCUUUAGGUCUGCAGUGUGAUUUGCUGUGAGUGGAUUGCAGUGCGAGCACA